CUCAGACUGAGCUCCCCUCAUUUCCGGUUCUGAGCGCUCUGCGCUUUUUGUCUUAAGCCUUCUGAGUGGAAAACUGGGAUAGGAGAGACUCUAGAUUUUUCACAGUGAGAACUAGUGGGGCGCACACAGCCUCCAGAAAAACAUACCAUCAGUUGAUUUAGGAUUAUUUUCAUAGGGAAAAAUAAUGGGUGUACCUCCUAAAAACAGCAUGAAAACGCCAUUGAGGCGUCACAAAAGCCCUGAGGUAAGUCCACAGCUUAGUAAGGACGCAGUUUUCUUCCCCUUUAUGAUGGUGAAUUCGGUUGACCAUAUUGAAGUCCAUCAGAAAAGUCAUAAUUAAGAAAAUACGGUUUUACGUAUGUCUAAUAGCACUCUACAAUGUACAUUUUAAAGCCAGCAUUAAUAUAACAAGUACUAUAAAUUCACGUUAUCUUCAGUCUCAGGUACUCUUCAAAGCAAGUUAAAUUCAGAGACAGUAACAUCAACAGGCCCUUUAAAAACCAUUUUUGUGGAAGAAAAAGUGA